GUAAUACCGGAGCCCCCAUCAGUCCACACACGGAGGGGGGAGGUGCAACAGGCCUGAGCUGUGGGAUUUAGUGCUUGCUUGUUCCGGCUCGUUGGCUUUAGCAUGCUUAACGAUGUGUUAGGCAGCAUUCACGAGGUCUAGUGUGCAACUUGGCACUCAGAAGCCAAUAGUGCCAAAGCUCGGUCCCUAGCAGCAUUUCCCCCCACCCCUUUUUUGUUCUUUUUAGUUAUGCAUGACGGUAGAGUGCAUUGUGACAUAAUACACAUACAUGGAGUAUAACUUCCCAUUCUUGUGGAUAUGCAUGAUGUGGACCUACACAUUGCAUAUUGAUAUUUGAACAUAGAAAAGUGAUGUCUGCUUCAUUCUACUGUCUUUCCCAUUCCCAUCCCCCCUCCUUUCCCCCAUUCUCCCCCACCCUGCCUAAUGUGAAUCAGCAUCCACAUAACAAAGAGAACAUUCCGCCUUUGGUUUUCUGGGAUUGGCUUAUUUCACAUAGCAUGAGAGCCUCCAGUUUCAUCCAUUUACAGCAGAUGCCAUAAUUUCAUUCUUCUUUAUGGUGAGUAAUAUUCCAUUGUGUAUAUAUACCACAUUUUCUUUAUUUAUUCAUCUGUUGAUGGACACCUAGGAUGGUUCCAUAAUUUAGCUAUUGUGAACUGAGCUACCUAGCAGCAUUUGGUAAGACUUGGGUAGGGAUGGGCAAGCUGGAGCAUCACCAACAGGUCCCAGGCACAUUUAGAAGAAAGAGUGAAGUAAGUCACUAUUCUAAAAUGCAUUGCAUUGCCGUGGGUUUUUUCACGUAGAGAUUUCAAGGCCCUGGUCUGGGUCCUCCUGCUUAGGCACCCUCCUGGGUGCUCUGUUGCCCCAAGAACAGUCUGAUGAAGAUUACCAGCCCUGAAGAGUGGCAUAAGCCAAGUGUCACAUGAGCACUGCAGGAAUGGAGCAUCCUGGCCUAGCCAUCUGCUUCUCCAGGAGAAUGCUUAUUACUGAUUUGGGCAGACCGUGCAGACAGGACUCCAUGAAGAGUCAAGUCAACCCCAUGUGGCUGCAAGAAGACAUCCUGGUAGCAUGCAGCACCUGGAGGAUACAGAGAGGGUCUCUGGAACUAGCUGGGGCACCUGAACACUUGGAUCUUGUGGUGGGGGUGGGAGUCUAACUUCUCGUUCAUUCCAUAAACCUGUAGGAAAGCAGCAACGCCACUGAGAAUCGCUGACGGUUGGAAAGGGAAAAUGCCUGGUCGCGUGUGUGCGCAUGAAUCUCACCUAUUUAUUAAAUAUGCUCAGUUUUACAGGAUACAGAUACACCUCCAAAUCUGUCCUUUUAUUUUCUUCCAAGUAAUUAUUUAUGAUCCCUAUUGCCACACAGUCACCUUUCCCCCCUCCAUCCUGUGCAUUUAGGGGUCCCAUUGUGCCUUUGUCGUAGAUGCUGUUUCAAUGUGCGUGUUUGUGGGUGAGGCUGUAGAUCUUGUGCAUGUAAUUCCAAAUGGCCAUAUGGCCAUCCCUCACGUCAGUGCUCCGAGGUUUGUUUAUCCAGCGGUAUAAAUCUUAAGGCUAUCACGAAAGACUGAGAGCCCUUUCCAAGUGCAGGGAAUAUCCAUAUUUCCUUCCUCCAUUGUGACUCAGAGUAUCCCAGACAUUUCUAGCAUCUUGCCAAAGAAUAAACAGCACUCACACUUUUCAGGCAUCUUACAGAACUAAAGGUCUCAGAUGUAGCGUUUAGGAUAAUAAAUGGAAUAUGAAAUAAUAAACAUAAAACAAACAUGUGGUUCUUGUUUUAAGUGGGAGGAUUUUAGUUGGCCCAGUUUUAGAGCCAGAAGUCGGGGUGAUUAAGAAGCAAAGAGCUGCCAGCACAGACAUGAAUUAUGGAGGAACAGGGAGCGCUGGUGUGGGAGAGAGCCAAUUUGCUUGCACAAAAAUUUAAAAAUGUAUGUGAGACUCCCUGAAGCCAACUAGCUCAGUAACAGAAGCCCUGCAGCCGCC
rnacentral:lncRNA from 1 species